rnacentral:rRNA from 1 species
UACGUAGGGUGCGAGCGUUGUCCGGAUUUAUUGGGCGUAAAGAGCUCGUAGGCGGUUUGUCGCGUCGGCCGUGAAAUCUCCACGCUUAACGUGGAGCGUGCGGUCGAUACGGGCAGACUUGAGUUCGGUAGGGGAGACUGGAAUUCCUGGUGUAGCGGUGAAAUGCGCAGAUAUCAGGAAGAACACCCGUGGCGAAGGCGGUUCUCUGGGACGGUACUGACGCUGAGACGCGAAAGCGUGGGGAGCGGACAGG